rnacentral:miRNA from 1 species
GCUCAGCUCCCUCGCGUGCCGCCCGCAGAGUGAGGCUGGGAGCCGGAAUAUGAUGUCAUAUUCUGGCUCCCAGACUCACUCUGCGGGCGGCGCGCAAGGGAGCUGAGC